rnacentral:rRNA from 1 species
AUGCAGAUCCACAAGCUAGGAUUGUGCUUCUUCAUGCAUAAUUCUUUCGGCAGAAAUCUGAAUAUGAAAGGAUCACUAGAAAGAUUUGUCAACAAGGCCAAAUUUGAAGUAGUAGGUACUUCAUUUUUGGCAGAGGUGGUAUGCUCUGAAAGUGGUUUAACUCAACAUCGAAUAUCUUCAAUGUCGCGGAGAGGGUCUGUGGUAUGCUCUGAUCUUAAGGCGCUGCAUCGGCCUCAAGCCACCAAUGGAUGUAGGCACCUUGAAUUUGACGCUGGUCAACAAAUCCGUUUUUUUGUGGGUGUGGUACUUGAUCUGCGAAAUAGCAGAGUUACACAAAGUAUGUUUUUUUUGGGAGGUGAUUCGGAGUUUUAUCGAAUCACCUUCUGGGUACUUUUUGAAACUUGUUUACCGUAG